AUUGAACGCUGGCGGAAUGCUUUACACAUGCAAGUCGAACGGCAGCACGGACUUCGGUCUGGUGGCGAGUGGCGAACGGGUGAGUAAUGUAUCGGAACGUGCCCAGUCGUGGGGGAUAACGUAGUGAAAAUUACGCUAAUACCGCAUACGAUCUAUGGAUGAAAGCGGGGGAUCGCAAGACCUCGCGCGAUUGGAGCGGCCGAUAUCAGAUUAGGUAGUUGGUGGGGUAAAGGCCCACCAAGCCAACGAUCUGUAGCUGGUCUGAGAGGACGACCAGCAACACUGGAACUAGGACAAGGUCCAGACUCCUACGGGAGGCAGCAGUGGGGAAUUUUGGACAAUGGGCGAAAGCCUGAUCCAGCCAUUCCGCGUGCAGGAUGAAGGCCCUCGGGUUGUAAACUGCUUUUGUACAGAACGAAAAGGUUUCUACUAAUACUAGGAGCUCAUGACGGUACUGUAAGAAUAAGCACCGGCUAACUACGUGCCAGCCGCCGCGGUAAAAC
rnacentral:rRNA from 1 species